GAAUGGAAGGGCCAUCGCUCAACGGAUAAAAGGUACUCCGGGGAUAACAGGCUGAUACCGCCCAAGAGUUCAUAUCGACGGCGGUGUUUGGCACCUCGAUGUCGGCUCAUCACAUCCUGGGGCUGAAGUAGGUCCCAAGGGUAUGGCUGUUCGCCAUUUAAAGUGGUACGCGAGCUGGGUUUAGAACGUCGUGAGACAGUUCGGUCCCUAUCUGCCGUGGGC
rnacentral:rRNA from 1 species